rnacentral:rRNA from 1 species
AGAGUUUGAUCCUGGCUCAGAUUGAACGCUGUUGGCAGGCCUAACACAUGCAAGUCGAACGGUAACAGGAAGAAGCUUGCUUCUUUGCUGACGAGUGGCGGACGGGUGAGUAAUGUCUGGGAAACUGCCUGAUGGAGGGGGAUAACUACUGGAAACGGUAGCUAAUACCGCAUAACGUCGCAAGACCAAAGAGGGGGACCUUCGGGCCUCUUGCCAUCGGAUGUGCCCAGAUGGGAUUAGCUAGUAGGUGGGGUAACGGCUCACCUAGGCGACGAUCCCUAGCUGGUCUGAGAGGAUGACCAGCCACACUGGAACUGAGACACGGUCCAGACUCCUACGGGAGGCAGCAGUGGGGAAUAUUGCACAAUGGGCGCAAGCCUGAUGCAGCCAUGCCGCGUGUAUGAAGAAGGCCUUCGGGUUGUAAAGUACUUUCAGCGGGGAGGAAGGGAGUAAAGUUAAUACCUUUGCUCAUUGACGUUACCCGCAGAAGAAGCACCGGCUAACUCCGUGCCAGCAGCCGCGGUAAUACGGAGGGUGCAAGCGUUAAUCGGAAUUACUGGGCGUAAAGCGCACGCAGGCGGUUUGUUAAGUCAGAUGUGAAAUCCCCGGGCUCAACCUGGGAACUGCAUCUGAUACUGGCAAGCUUGAGUCUCGUAGAGGGGGGUAGAAUUCCAGGUGUAGCGGUGAAAUGCGUAGAGAUCUGGAGGAAUACCGGUGGCGAAGGCGGCCCCCUGGACGAAGACUGACGCUCAGGUGCGAAAGCGUGGGGAGCAAAAAGGAUUAGAUACCCUGGUAGUCCACGCCGUAAACGAUGUCGACUUGGAGGUUGUGCCCUUGAGGCGUGGCUUCCGGAGCUAACGCGUUAAGUCGACCGCCUGGGGAGUACGGCCGCAAGGUUAAAACUCAAAUGAAUUGACGGGGGCCCGCACAAGCGGUGGAGCAUGUGGUUUAAUUCGAUGCAACGCGAAGAACCUUACCUGGUCUUGACAUCCACGGAAGUUUUCAGAGAUGAGAAUGUGCCUUCGGGAACCGUGAGACAGGUGCUGCAUGGCUGUCGUCAGCUCGUGUUGUGAAAUGUUGGGUUAAGUCCCGCAACGAGCGCAACCCUUAUCCUUUGUUGCCAGCGGUCCGGCCGGGAACUCAAAGGAGACUGCCAGUGAUAAACUGGAGGAAGGUGGGGAUGACGUCAAGUCAUCAUGGCCCUUACGACCAGGGCUACACACGUGCUACAAUGGCGCAUACAAAGAGAAGCGACCUCGCGAGAGCAAGCGGACCUCAUAAAGUGCGUCGUAGUCCGGAUUGGAGUCUGCAACUCGACUCCAUGAAGUCGGAAUCGCUAGUAAUCGUGGAUCAGAAUGCCACGGUGAAUACGUUCCCGGGCCUUGCACACACCGCCCGUCA